GGGUGAGUAAUGCAUGGGAAUCUGCCCGAUAGAGGGGGAUAGCCCGGGGAAACUCGGAUUAAUACCGCAUAAUCUCUACGGAGUAAAGGGGGCCUCUAUUUAUAAGCUUUCACUAUUUGAUGAGCCUGCGUAAGAUUAGCUUGUUGGUGAGGUAAAAGCUCACCAAGGCGACGAUCUUUAGCUGGUCUGAGAGGAUGAUCAGCCACACUGGGACUGAGACACGGCCCAGACUCC
rnacentral:rRNA from 1 species